AGGCUAAGUCUGCCCCGUGAUUCAUUUUAACGGCCGCAGUACACUGACUGUGCUAAGGUAGCAUAAUCAUUUGUCUUUUAAUUGGAGACUGGCAUGAAUGGCAUCAUGGAGAUAAGCUGUCUUAGAAGAAUUUCUUAAAAUUUUCUAAGGAGGUGAAAAUACCUCUAACGUUUUAAAUAAGACGAGAAGACCCUUAGAAUUAUAACAAUACUUUCUUAAAGUAACGUUUUUGUUGGGGCAACAUUAUUAGAUUUAAACUGAUGAAAAUUAAAUUAGACAUAGCCACUAUAAUAAAAAAGAAUUUAAUUACCUAAGGGAUAACAGCAUAAUUCACAUAUGAGAGUAUGACCUCGAUGUUGGACUAGGGACUUUUACCAUUAGGUGUGGUAAUAAGAUUGUUCUGUUCGGACAAUGGAA
rnacentral:rRNA from 1 species